UGGGGAAUCUUCCGCAAUGGACGAAAGUCUGACGGAGCAACGCCGCGUGAGUGAAGAAGGUUUUCGGAUCGUAAAACUCUGUCUUUUGGGGCGAACGUGAGUAUGGUGAACAAUCAUAGUCGGUGACGGUACCAAAGGAGGAAGCCACGGCUAACUACGUGCCAACAGCCGCGGUAAUACGUAGGUGGCAAGCGUUGUCCGGAAUUAUUGGGCGUAAAGAGCGCGUAGGCGGGAUAGUCAGUCUGUUGUAAAAGUGCGGGGCUCAACCCCGUGAUGGCAAUGGAAACAGCUAUUCUUGAGUGCAGGAGAGGAAAGUGGAAUUCCCAGUGUAGCGGUGAAAUGCGUAGAUAUUGGGAGGAACACCGGUGGCGAAGGCGACUUUCUGGACUGUGUCUGACGCUGAGGCGCGAAAGCCAGGGGAGCGAACGGGAUUAGAUACCCCGGUAGUCCUGGCCGUAAACGAUGGGUACUAGGUGUGGGAGGUAUCGACCCCUUCCGUGCCGGAGUUAACGCAAUAAGUACCCCGCCUGGGGAGUACGGUCGCAAGACUGAAACUCAAAUGAAUUGACGGGGUCAUAGCUGUUUCCUG
rnacentral:rRNA from 1 species